UGUUGAAGAGGACUCGUGCAGACACGCCGAUGGUGAUGGCAUUCUCCGGCUUGGGCUUGAAGAGAAGAGAAGAGGUGACAUGAUGAAGAAGCCAAACUGAACACAGCGAUGUAGCAAGUCCAGGAGGCCAAAAACCCAACUGUUUUCUUCCUCAUCUACCAAAGUGCAGAGGUACGAGAUUCAUCACAGUAACAGCAAGGGGAUCUUGACAGUUGCGAAAGUUUAUCCUCCUACUUCCCAAGAACACAGAUGCACUUCAUGUGUUGCUCAACUACAAGUUUGUUAAGAGCUGUGUUGGGUUUGGACUGAAUACAACAGACUACAGACUAUAAGAGGAUCCCCACCAACGGCAUAUGCCAAGCGGUCAGUCAGACCAGAGAGGAGAAAUUAAACCGAAAGUGCCACGAGAAGAGAAUGAGGAGAGCCAGCAUCAGGGCGAGGCUGACCCGACUUGGACCGAGAGAAGCUCCUCUACCGAGGCCUCUUCUGGCUAUAUCCAGUCACAGGACAAUAAAGUAGAUGAGAUGCAAGUGAGGCUCACUCAGCAAUGGGAAACCAAAGACUGCUCUGCACACAGAGACAUGGUUAACCCCUAACAUCCUGGAUCAAGCUGUUGCACCGGAUGGUCAGACUUUGUUCAGAGCCGGCAGGACACAAGACUCCUAUGAAAAUUUCAAAAAUGCACUGCAGAAAGUGGAUGCCUUUUUCAUAGA